GAUGAACGCUGACAGAAUGCUUAACACAUGCAAGUCGACUCGAGUCUUCGGACUUGGGUGGUGCACGGGUGAGUAACGCGUAAAGAACUUGCCUCUUAGACCGGGACAACAUCUGGAAACGGAUGCUAAUACCGGAUAUUAUGGUUUUUUCGCAUGGAGGAAUCAUGAAAGCUGGAUGCGCUAAGAGAGAGCUUUGCGUCCCAUUAGCUAGUUGGUGAGGUAACGGCCCACCAAGGCAAUGAUGGGUAGCCGGCCUGAGAGGGUGAACGGCCACAAGGGGACUGAGACACGGCCCUUACUCCUACGGGAGGCAGCAGUGGGGAAUAUUGGACAAUGGACCACAAGUCUGAUCCAGCAAUUCUGUGUGCACGAUGACGUUUUUCGGAAUGUAAAGUGCUUUCAGUCGGGAAGAAGUCAGUGACGGUACCGACAGAAGAAGCGACGGCUAAAUACGUGCCAGCAGCCGCGGUAAUACGUAUGUCGCAAGCGUUAUCCGGAUUUAUUGGGCGUAAAGCGCGUCUAGGCGGCAAGGAAAGUCUGAUGUGCAAAUGCGGAGCUCAACUCCGUAUGGCGUUGGAAACUGCCUUACUAGAGUACUGGAGAGGUAGGCGGAACUACAAGUGUAGAGGUGAAAUUCGUAGAUAUUUGUAGGAAUGCCGAUGGGGAAGCCAGCCUACUGGACAGAUACUGACGCUAAAGCGCGAAAGCGUGGGUAGCAAACAGG
rnacentral:rRNA from 1 species